CAUUUACAAAACACAUUUAUUGGACAGAUAAUAUUGUAAUUAUAUGACAAUUAUAACAUUAGUAUAUGUAUCAACUAUCACCAUAUCAAAUGUCUAUCAAAACUUUAAAUAAAUGAAUCAUUAAAAUACACAGCUGUUGUGACUAAAGUUGAGAUAAAACAUGAGUGACGUCACUAUAUCGCGUCAUUGAUGACUAAGUGAUGAUGUCUGUCUUUCCUCUUACCGACUAGAGGGAGUCGUUCCCGGGGUUAAAGGCUCUGGUUAAAGGCUGGUUAAAGUGUCUGGUUAAAGGCUCUGGUUAAAGUCUGGUUAAAGGCUCUGGUUAAAGUCUGGUUAAAGUCUGGUUAAAGUCUGGUUAAAGUCUGGUUAAAGGCUCUGGUUAAAGUCUGGUUAAAGUCUGGUUAAAGUCUCUGGUUAAAGUCUGGUUAAAGACUCUGGUUAAAGUCUGGUUAAAGUGUCUGGUUAAAGGCUCUGGUUAAAGUCUGGUUAAAG
rnacentral:lncRNA from 1 species